rnacentral:tRNA from 1 species
GGGGGUAUAGCUCAGUGGGAGAAUAUUUGACUGCAGAUCAAGAGGUCCCCGGUUCAAAUCCGUGUGCCCCCU